CUUGACCCUGCCUUGGUCCUUUGUGAACUGACAGACAGAUCCACAGAAUGCUAUGGAUAGACACUACUACUGUCUUCUUGUCUGCUGAGUUCUCAGAUGUCUCUUUUGAGGGGUCUUCUGUGGGCAGAGCAUUUCGGGACAUCUCUAAUGUAAAAAAAUAUUUUCACAGGAAAAGCAGCCAGAGACUACCCCCUGAAACUGAGAGCUAGGACUUUUCAAGAAAAGAGCUUGUGGCAGGUCAGAGGGGGGAGUUGCAGGUCAGAAAAAGGAUAAGGUCUGACUGGCUUUGAAUGAAGAGAAAGAAAUAGAAAGGCACAGACAAGGAAAAGACGGUUCACCGCUGAACACACGGGGUGGGAGAGGCCACGAUCCUGUGGAACACUCCAUCCACUCCAGCAUUGCAGCGUUCACAAGCCGCACCUGGUACCUUGAGGAGCCUGAACUCAAUCAUCUCAUGGUUGCUGCUGCCCAAGUCACCAUCCACUUCUACAUUCAUUUAUGAGCAGGAGAUCAAGAAGAGUAUGGCUCCUCUCUAACACUUGCACCAUAGCAGAAACAGUCAAACCUUCCUUACCCUGCUGCAGAAAUGACCUGAACACUGACCUGAAGGGACCACCCUCUUGAGAGAUGAAAGGUCAUUCAGUUUCCAUGCAAGAUCUGCUCAGGGGAUCUCUUGAAGAGAGUGAGAGAGAUUGCAAAUCAUCCAAACUGUGCCAAAUUAUGUGUGAAGGUUUUGUAAUGCAGACUACUGUCCACUAGGGAUUAAAUUAAGACCAUCAAACCUAGCACACGGAGAAUCUCAUUUUAUACUUAAACUCUGCUUGUAGUGUUUUAUGUAGUACAUUGUAUCAGUCUCCUCUCGACAAAACAUCUAAUCACUAGAAAAUAUUUAAAUCAAUUAUGUAAUUUGUGGAGAUGAAUGUGUAACUCUAGAUAGAUAGAUAGAUAGAUAGAUAGAUAGAUAGAUAGAUAGAUAUCAUGGUUAAAAGCAUCUUGCAUUUAUUUCACUAGACAAUCAUAUGUGACUAAGGACACGUCUACAUAAGAUGCUAUGGCGACAUAGCUCGUCACCACAGAGAUGUAGCAUCAGCAGGCAUGAACCACACAUGCCAUGUGUAAUAAAGUACUGCGCAGUAGCUUGUUGCUACUGCACAGUAGGGUUCGAAACAACCCAUGUGCUCUCCCAGGUGGUUAUUCCACAGUCAUUUAGUAUUUGGUAAAGCAAGUACUAAAUGACUGCACAGUAACAACUGCGCAGGCGGGCACAUGUGUAGACGUGCCUUAAGACAACAAUUCCUAUUAAUUCAAGAAAUAAAUUUAUGCAUUGGAUUUCUAGACAUUGUUUUUUUUAUCUCUAACUAGCAGAAAAUAAUUUAGAUGUUAAGGUUGUGAUGUAAGUGUAUCAAACUAGAAAGUUCAGAGGAAAUUUGAAGCACUGUCCUUAAACCAAGCCUUGUUCCCAUAUUUUAGCUUACAUAUUAUUCUGUGCUUUAAUAUUCAGUGUUUUUCAUCCCGAGAGAAGACCCUUUUGGCUGCAAUAACUAGAAAGAAUGGGAUUUCUUACACUUCUGGUUCAUCUUUAAAUUAGUGAACAUCUUAUUUCCUAGUCUUAACUGACAGAAACAUAGACUCUGUUUCAAUAUUGUUUCAGCCAUGCAUAUUGUCUUUGUUUUAUACUUUAGAGAAUAUUUUUAAUAUGUUAUUUAAAAAAGAACAAUGCAAAGUGGGAAAAGAGACUAAAAUCUCUCAAGGAAGAGAAGAACAACUGAACGUUUUUCAAAUGCAUGCUCUUUGCCUGGUAGUCUUUGAUGUCUUCAUCAGAGCCCUAGAAUGUAUCAGCCAAAUUUUUGGAGCUCAGUUAUGCCUUAUGAAGCCAGGGGUGUACUGUGAGGAGUAUACUUACCUGAAAGUAGCAUUUCAUUUCUAAAAAGGGUGCUAGAAGAUAUGCAGGGUUGUCUGGUCUCAGCCUCAGCUCACCUGGUCACUUUUAGAUGGGGUGUUAAAAAACACUUUUUUGUGUUCAGUGCAGGAUGUGAAUUAAGGGGGAGCUCAGGGAGGAUGACUCCCCGCCCCCCUGUCCCCCCAGAGAUAACAGCCCCCCUAAAAGAUUUGAAAAUCAUAACCUGGGAGGGUCUCCAAUUGGAUUGGUCCUUCACCUAGGUCUCUGACAGGGCUCUGUGGGCUGGAUCCAGCCCAUUGGCUAUAUCUUUGAUACCCCUGGUAUAAAGUAAAUAGAACAUGUUAAUCAAUUAACCAGUUUAAUUUUUUUCACAGAUCCUUUUCCCCCAAGGGUUAAAGUGUAAUUCAAACCCUCGUUCAGUGGUACAGUGGUACUAUGAUAAGCAUUCUUGGCAGAUACAUGAGGGAGAAGGCAGAUAUACAAGACAGAGGUAUCCACCAUUCAACUGUUUUUAAAAAGCAUGUGACUGUGAAUUCUAAAAAUAUGCAGCAUGUCCCUGUCAAGCCACUUCUGGAGCUUCCUUUAAAUCAUUGUUCUCAGGCCUAUAGAUACUGACUGAAGAGAAAUGAUUACUAUUUAAGAGUUAUCACAGUCUGUCAGAGCACAUGGGAAUAGCAUUUGGUCUGGUAGAUCAGUGAACCAGGAAACUUGAGUUAGUGAGCCUACCACUAUCUCCUUCCUACCCUCAGAAUAAACAGCACAACUAAGCAGGGGCCAGUGGGGUGAGUAAAAAAAUAGCAGUUGCUGCUGGCAGUAGCACAGCCACUGAUGCUGCUUCAUGCACUUCAUGCUCAGCUACACCUCUGCUUAGAAUUAAUCUCUGAGUGCCUCAAUAUUCUCAUCUGUAAAAUGGGAAAUAAUGGUACAAUACUUUUGCAUUUGUAACAGAGGUUGAGGAAGCCAAAGCAUUAUCAUCUGUGCAGCUGUUCCCAGAACACUUAAAAUGUCACACUAACAUUUCCUCUCUUCCCUCAAAUUUUCUGAAUAAUUCUGGGUAUAAAAGCAGUUUUGGUCAACCCAAAAUCAUUCACAACUUCAUGUCAAGAGCACCAAAUAUUUUGGAUGGGGGAAAAAGGAAAUUGGGGAUAGAUUCUUGGACAAAUAAGCGCUGUUCCCAUGUUGUUCAAAUAGCUUAGGGGUUAAAGCAGGGGUACCAAACUCAUCCAGCUCUGUGGGUGAAAUGAGGGGCAUGGGUCAGAGGGGUCUGUGGGUCAGAGCGGGCUCACAGACCCGCCCCGCAUGCCAGAUUCUGCUGUCAGAGCAUAGAGGCAGUACUAGGGAGAUGGGUAGCCUUUGGGAAGGCAAUGGGAAUGUCCAGGAUUCUAGUCUGGGCUCUGCCUCUUGCUUCCUGUCUGACCUUAAACAAGUCACUCCAUCUGUCUGUGCCUAGCGCCCCACCCACCGAAAAAAAGAGACAUAUGGAAAUAUUUGGCAAGACAGUGAAAGUUAACAGGAAACUUAAUGAGAAAUGAAUAAGAAACUUUAAGUGAGGGAAGAAGGUCCCAGGAUUCUCAUGUGCUACCCUCACAGACUUUGCUCAUCCAUUUAGGUCACAGGAGGUAGUUUGCCUGUGCAUUUUAUUGCUACUUCCGGAGAGUAGAAUAUAGAGAAUACAGCACUUCUAUCUUCUCUAAGUCCAGGGGAAAGUAGUUAUGUCAUUAUUGUUUUGCAAGAGAAUAACAGAAAUAGUCAUCCUCCAAUGGAAUUCCCCCCUGAUUUAAUUAAUAAAUAUAUAAUCAGUUUUGAAUGCUUUCCUGUCUAAGGGAAUGUAGCUGGGCUACCUUUUAUGUUUUUGAGCUUUAACUGCUUUCUGCUUUAACUGGACACAUACAUAGCUAAUGCAGGGUUUAACAUCCUUAUCUGUCCACACCACCGUGACCUCAUGUGAGGUCCAGCCCUGAGGUGCUGUAUGCUAUUAACUUGAAUUGAAGUAAAUCGUCCCAUCCUGAAGGGUUCUGAACCCCUUGAAUUCCCAUUGCAAUCCAUGGCUCCUGAAGACUGUAAGAAGCUUACAGAAAUGGCUCAGCACCUUAUAGGAUCAUUAGGGCAUCCAUCUCUAAAUGACUCCACAAGUAGUUUUAUAGGACUCAUUAGCAAUGUGUUUGCGUACCUCAUAAACAGUGAAUUUACCCUCACACUUACCUAGUUAGAGAAGCAUGUAUUAUUCAUUAUCUUUUACAAAUGAGAAACUGAGGUACAGAGUGUGAGUGAAUUUUCUAGGGUCACAGGGUGAGUUUACUGUAAAGCCAGAAAUAAAGCCUAAUCUCCUGAGGUCUCCUUCUGUACAGUCAUCCACAAGAGCAACCUUCCCUCUUUACAGUUCCUUAACCGUCUACAAAUUCCUCUUAGGAAAAAAAGUAAAUAUGGGUAUUUUGAAGGCAAUCUGGAAGCAGAAGGAAACUGAAGAACAUCUGAUUUUUGGAGCAUCUGAAUGGCAGUAACCGAGGUUCAAUGUCUAAAGCAAGGGCAUCAAUCUCAACAAGUCCCAUGGCCUGGAUGAGGUGCACAGACUAAACGAGGCUUACAGACGAGCCCUACACACCAGAUCCAGCACACAGAUCAGUUUGGCACAGGCAUUAUGUGCAGCAUCAACUUUGGGUUGCCACAUGUAUCACAUGCAGCGUGUGCACCAGACUGACCCCACGCACUGCAUGCCACUUGCAGGGCUACAGCCGGCAUGUACUGCAUGUCGCAUGUAGGUCCAGUUUGAGACCCACAGACAGCACUGUGGGCCAAAUGACAGGGCUCUGUGAGCUGGAUCCAGCCCAUUGGCUAUAUCUUUGAUACCCCUGGUAUAAAGUAAAUAGAAAAUACUGAAAGAGUAGAAUGUUAUUGCAGAUAGAUAGCUAGACAGAUAGAUUAGAUUAGAAAACAAUGUUCCACCUCUCUAACAAAUAGCUCUCCACUAAGAUUAUUCACCAAAUACAUGGUAUUCACUAGUAUCACUGCCAUAGCGAUUUCAGUGUUUGAAUAUCAGUAGACUUGUGAAGUGUAGUCACUGAAAAUAUAUGUGGUAUGUUAGUGGGUGAAACAACAUCUCCUACAACAUGAUAUUAUGUCAUUAAAGCUCUUGAUACUUGUAUCAUCCUCUGUAUUGAUCUAUUGUGACUGUUUGUGACCUUGUAAGGCAGUAAAAUCCUGUAAUUUCAUAUGGCUAUGAACCCAAUCCUGCAUUUGGGCUCUGAUCCAAAGCCCACUGAAGUACAAGAGAGUCUUUCCAUUGAUUUCAGCAGAUUUUGAAGAGGCCCUUGUUUAAACAUCCAUAACUCUUGAAAAAACAUGAAACACCCUUAUAUAACAGGUAAUCCAUGUGAAAGAGUCACUGUUAAAAAAAAGUCUGCAUUUAUCAGUGGACACCAUACAAUUAUCAAAGUCAUCUCUUCCAGCUAUAGAGAUAGCUCUAGCAUCUCAAAUAUAACUCUGUGGGAACUGUGGGUUAGUGUUAACUUUUUAAUGGCAAUGGCAGUAACGUAGGUUAAUGGGAUCAUCUUUUUUCCCCCCUCAGAGAAUUGGUGGAUUCUUUCCAUUCAUUUAAAUUAUUUUUAGUAGCAAAUGAAAAAUUUGUGUCUUAGACCUGGAGAUGAUCUUAUCAACAUUCUAUGUAGACAUACUAUUGGUGACUAUCCCAUUAAAUUAAAAUCUGCAUCUCUCUGAUUUCUUCCUUCAGCAUCAAGUCUUACAAGGUUUUUAAGCAGAUAUUGGUGUGUUUUGCCUCAAAAGCCUGCUUUUCCUAGUGUGCACAGCUUUCCCCUGCAUUUCUGAGUGUCCUUCUAUUGGACUUGUGUGGGAAACUACAUUCCAUGAGUCAAGUCCUUGGAAGUCUGGGUGUGUUCAGAGAAGGGCAAUUAAUGCCAGUAUUUCAAAUCAGCUGUAUCUUAAAAAUAAUGGAAUUCAGGGUGUCUGAAAUCAUGAUCUCUUCAUGGAUGUAUGUUGGUGGUGGCAGGGUUUUUUAAGCUCAUCACUAAUGUACUGUAAUCCUUCCAUACUUUUCCUAUUCCCUGAUUAUUGCUGCCACUAGUAACCCUAGGGCUCAUAUAGGCUGCUGUAUGGCUUGCCCUUCAGGAUUAGCAGCUAGAACACGAUGGGAUAAGUUGAGUUUCUAUUCAAACCAAACUUAACUGGGCCAUCACAGUAAGCCCUGCAUGAUUACAAAGCUACUGGAUGGAGGAACAUGAGAGGAAAAGCACAGGGUUUACAUUGUGUUUCCUUUUUUGC